GUUAGUUAUACUGGGUGGGUUUAUAUUAUUAAAGGGACACUCCAGGCUCCCACACACGUUAGGUGCACUGUGUAGGUUAGGUUACAGUUAGUUAUACUGGGUGGGUUUAUAUUAUUAAAGGGACACUCCAGGCUCCCACACACACGUUAGAUGCACUGUGUAGGUUAGGUUACAGUUAGUUAUACUGGGUGGGUUUAUAUUAUUAAAGGGACACUCCAGGCUCCCACACACGUUAG